UUCCCACAUCGAGCUCUCUUCCUCCUCUCUCUCUCUCUAGUGAGUUCCACACCGGUCGCCGACGCCACAAGAUCUAGCUUCUCCACCAACUUCCGGCAGUGGAUCCGGCUUCUGCGGCCGUCACCUACCACGGGGGACACACCCAAGAUCGGCAGCUUCGCGGCUGUACCACCAGGCCGGUGAAGAGCGACGCCAAAUCACGCCGGCGGACGACGGAUCCACUGCGGUGGGCGUUGCGGAGAGCUACUCCGGCGAGGUUCCACCACGACGGGUCACCGCGCACGGGCGUCGCUGGAUCCGGCGACUCCAAAUCUGACCGCCACCAGAUCUGGAUAGAAACUCCGCCUUCUACAUCUCAAGCUACCGAUCCAAGAAUAAACCAUGGAGCGGAAGGUGUCAAUAGUAGUUGCAUCUAUGUUCAUAUUAGCACUCAUCUUCUGUCAUGGUACAGAUGCUAAGUGUAAGCAACAAACCUACAAACUUCCUGUUCCAUGUAAUCAUGACAGUUGUGAUCCUUUUUGCACACAACAUAAGUAUGAAUCUGGGACAUGUGGUUUUACUGGCGAUCCUGA